GAGGGCCUCUCGCGAGCGGAGCGGCCGAUGACUGAUUAGCUAGUUGGUAAGGUAAAGGCUUACCAAGGCGACGAUCAGUAGCUGGUCUGAGAGGACGACCAGCCACACUGGGACUGAGACACGGCCCAGACUCCUACGGGAGGCAGCAGUGGGGAAUUUUGGACAAUGGGCGCAAGCCUGAUCCAGCUAUUCCGCGUGUGGGAAGACGGCCUUCGGGUUGUAAACCACUUUUGUAGAGAACGAAAAGUCUAUUGAUAAUACCGAUAGAUGAUGACGGUACUCUAAGAAUAAGCACCGGCUAACUACGUGCCAGCAGCCGCGGUAAUACGUAGGGUGCGAGCGUUAAUCGGAAUUACUGGGCGUAAAGGGUGUGCAGGCGGUUUUGCAAGAUGGAUGUGAAAGCCCCGGGCUUAACCUGGGAAAGCCAUACAUGACUGCAAGACUAGAGUGCGUCAGAGGGGGGUGGAAUUCCAAGUGUAGCAGUGAAAUGCGUAGAUAUUUGGAAGAACACCGAUGGCGAAGGCAGCCCCCUGGGACGCAACUGACGCUCAUACACGAAAGCGUGGGGAGCAAACAGGAUUAGGUACCCUGGUAGUCCACGCCCUAAACGAUGUCAACUAGUUGUUGGGAGG
rnacentral:rRNA from 1 species